UAGAUGCGAGAGUAGAGCAUAUCAAUAAGCGGAGGAAAAGAAACUAACAAGGAUUCCCUUAGUAACGGCGAGUGAAGCGGGAAGAGCUCAAAUUUGAAAUCUUCAAGGUUUUACCUUGACGAAUUGUAGUUUAAAGAAGUGUUUUCUGUUAGAUUUGAGUAGCAAAGUUCCUUGGAAUAGGGACAUCAUAGAGGGUGAGAAUCCCGUAUUUGGUUAUUCAUUCUAGCUUUGUGAUACACUUUCAAAGAGUCGGAUUGUUUGGGAAUGCAGUCCAAAAUGGGUGGUAAAUUUCAUCUAAAGCUAAAUAUUGGCGAGAGACCGAUAGCGAACAAGUACCGUGAGGGAAAGAUGAAAAGAACUUUGAAAAGAGAGUUAAACAGUACGUGAAAUUGUCAAAAGGGAAGCGUUUGACACCAGUGUUGUUUUUCCGAAAAUCAAUACGAAUGGCUUGAUUUUGUGUUGUAUUGACCUUAUCAGCUUUCUGCACUUUUUUCGAGUCUUUCUUAAUGCACUUUUCGGUUAACAAGUCAACAUCAAUUUCUUUUGUUGUAAAAGAGUAUUCGGAAGGUGGCUUUCUUUUCGGAGAAAGUGUUUAUAGCCCUAUACUUCUACAAUCGGAGAGAUUGAGGUCUGCAGCGUAGAUCCUUCGGGGUUAGAUACACUUGUGCUAAGUUGUAGCUCUUCAUAGACAACUUGUUGACUAUGUUUAGUCAUGCGGCUUACUCGCUUAUGCUAUUUUACCUACGCUUAGGAUGUUGAGCGCAUGUCUCUCUCU
rnacentral:rRNA from 1 species